GACAAAUUACGAAAACAACGGAAGAAACGGACUCUAUUGAAGCUUAAAUCAAAGUACCAAAACGAAAUUGUUCAGUGGGAAAAUUUGUCGAACACCUUGCGUUCAUUGCAUAUUUCUUCUUCAACUCAGCUUCAACAACAACGACAACUAGAGCAAACCCUAUCUCUUCCUUCCUUUCCCUCAUUUCAAUUUUUGAAUGGAAUCCGAAGACGACGAAUGGGAACUUUGCUACGACGACGGCUUCGUCUACAAACGCAAGCGCCGUCGACUCAAUCCUCCACCGCCGGAACCCUCAUCGGAGCCGGAUCAGGAAGCUGCCGACAAAUUACGAAAACAACGGAAGAAACGGACUCUAUUGAAGCUUAAAUCAAAGUACCAAAACGAAAUUGUUCAGUGGGAAAAUUUGUCGAACACCUUGCGUUCAUUGCAUAUUUCUUCUUCAACUCAGCUUCAACAACAACGACAACUAGAGCAAACCCUAUCUCUUCCUUCUACUUCUUCAUCCUCCCAUUCAUCUCUCCUCGAUGAUCUUCUCUUCCAGGUAACUUCACAAAUUUCUCUUUCUUCCCAAUUUGUACCUAAUACCCCCCCAAAAAAAUUUGAAACGAAAUUGAGGCAAUUACUAACUUAGUCUGAGAUUUGCG
rnacentral:lncRNA from 1 species